rnacentral:rRNA from 1 species
GUGCCAGCCGCCGCGGUAAUACGGAGGGUGCAAGCGUUGUCCGGAAUCACUGGGCGUAAAGGGUACGCAGGCGGUCUGGCAAGUCAGAGGUGAAAGCCACCAGCUUAACUGGUGAAGUGCCUUUGAAACUGUUAGACUUGAGGAUAGGAGAGGAAAGCGGAAUUCCCGGUGUAGUGGUGAAAUACGUAGAGAUCGGGAAGAAUACCAAUGGCGAAAGCAGCUUUCUGGCCUAUUCCUGACGCUGAGGUACGAAAGCUAGGGUAGCAAACGGGAUUAGAUACCCCAGUAGUCC